AGACCUCAAAUCAGUCAGGACUACCCGCUGAACUUAAGCAUAUCAAUAAGCGGAGGAAAAGAAACUAACAAGGAUUCCCCUAGUAACGGCGAGUGAAGUGGGAAAAGCUCAACUUUGAAAUCUGGUACUUUCAGUAUCCGAAUUGUAGUCUCAAGAAGUGUUUUCUGUGCCGGUCCAUGUAUGAGUCUGUUGGAACACAGCGUCAUAGAGGGUGACAACCCCGUUCAUGACAUGGAUCCCGGUGCUUUGUGAUACACUCUCGAAGAGUCGAGUUGUUUGGGAAUGCAGCUCAAAUUGGGUGGUAAAUUCCAUCUAAAGCUAAAUAUUGGCGAGAGACCGAUAGCAAACAAGUACCGUGAGGGAAAGAUGAAAAGCACUUUGGAAAGAGAGUUAACAGUACGUGAAAUUGUUGAAAGGGAAACGAUUGAAGUCAGACGUGCGUGAUGCGGUUCAGCUUUAGUUCGCUAGAGUGUACUCCGUAUCUUUGCAGGCCAACAUCGGUUUUGUUAGUCGGAUAAAGGUUUGAGAAAUGUGGCACCUUCGGGUGUGUUAUAGUCUCAGACUGAAUACGAUUGAUGGGACCGAGGAACGCAGCGCGCCGCAAGGCAAAGGUUCCGACCUUUCGCG
rnacentral:rRNA from 1 species